rnacentral:lncRNA from 10 species
UACAGACGUUUCAGUCUGGAAAACUGCAAGCACGGCAGAUGCCAAAACCCCUUUCCUGUGCCUGAAAGAGAACUUCUGGAGAUUUUCCAAAUGCAGACCAAGAGGGAUUGAGCUCUCCUCUACCCUGCCUGGCCCAGAAGUUCCAUUUCCUACCUCCUUCUAGCAGGGGAGCAGGGGCCUUCCUUGGUGGCCCCCAGGAUGGCCCUAUCUCAGAAAGACACAACCACGACUUCUCUGUAUAAUAGACACCACCACACAGUAAGUAGUGGGAGGAUGGGGUGGGGAGGGACUUUUAUUUGUCCUUUAGGCCCUUAACCCAUGGCAUGACUCUGAUGGUUAAGGACAGCCUGGGACAAGUCCAGUGAGAUUAGGGUAGGAGAGUGGGGAGGUGAGUAAGACCCCAUGGGGGUGUGAGUGCCUCUGAGGCAACCUAGAGUGGAGGUGGAGGGGGUGGCAGACCCUUAGGAAAUAAGCAUGACCCCUGGCUGGGUAAGGGCACCCACUAUGAGGGUAACAGUCACUCGUUCAUCCCACAACCAUUUUUGAUAUCUGUAGGUGUCAGGUACCAUGCUAGUUGAAGGAUAUAAUUGUGAACAAGUGAUGUGUGGGUCUUAGUGUCGAAGAGCUGACAUUGGAGGAUAUCAGAGACAAAAAUCAAGUAAGCAAAUACAGCAUUGUUAACUGCAGUAAGAACGAGGAGGACAGACACAGGCCCACAAGGAGGUCCGGGUGGCUCCUGGCAUCAGGGCCAUAUGUAGCUCAGCUUGGGGUUCAGGGUCCUAACUCCAGCUCUGGCAGGCUGGAGGAAGAGUCCCACAUCCAGAUGAAGUGGCACUUAUGGGUCUGAAAGAUAUAAGCCCGGGUCUAGGGGCUGAGUGGUCCUGUAUGCCAGGGGGCAUGCCAGGAGCUUCACCAUGUUAAUGUGCUUCAUCCAGAGAGGAAGCUGACCACCAGCAAUGCUUGUGAGACUGGCUGCUGGCUGCCUUCUUAUUCUCCUCUUGGGUCAGGGCUGACCCUCUGAUGGGGUGGGGCUGAGGCUGGCCAGCAGGGAGGCCAAGCUGUUGGAUCAGAGGAAGGCGAUGUCAGACACCAGCCCCUGUCACCCACCAGCUCUUCCCUUCCCAUUGUCCCUGGCUGGCCCUGGCCCAGCCUCUCCAGCAUCCUCAUUUGCCUCCCUGCCUCCGGCUCACCCUGCCCACAUAUCCACCAGGGGCUGCCGUUGUUUCUCUGAUUAGUUACUGUGUUGCUGCCAAAUUAAUGCUUCUAAACCAUAUUUUAUAACAGCAGCCUUCAUCUGCAGAGAAUCUUUGAAAAUACUUGGCUUGGCAUUUAAAGUGGUACAAAAAUGUGGCCUUACUGAAUUUUUACAGCUUUAUUUAUCCUUUCAGAGGUGCAUCCUGCACGUAUGUCAAACUGUGGGUCCUCAUCCCUCUGCCACACCUCUGCUCAGUUAUCUUUCUCUCCUUCAACCCCCCUCCCUGCCACCCUCCUGCAUCCCUCUGGGUAGUGAAACAGCCCCUUAUUCAGUCAGCCAGCCUUGCAUUCAGCAGGCUCUGCAGGCUCCCACUCUGUGCCCGCCAUUCCUGGGCAGCACUAGGACCCCCCCUGCUCUGACACCUCAUCCACUUGUUUUGUAAUCUUAUUAAUCUUCAUUUAUUAACUCCUGAAUGAGACCUUAUCCUUCUGCUCCUCUGAACUGUAACCCUUCAAUGGCAGAGGCUGCAUCUUGCCCAUUCCUUGGCCUCAUGGUUCCCUGCCUGUGGCAGGGGUCAAUAAAUGUGCUACAUGACCUGGACUAACAUGGGCUCUGGAAGGAAAGCACUAAAUACUGGCCUGGGGGCUGGAACUCAGUCUCAGCUCUGCCACUUAACUGCUGGAUAGUCUCUGGAACAUUACUGUCUUUUUCUGAGCCCCAGGAUCCCCAGCUAUAACAUGCGGCUGCCAUCCGUGUCUUGGUUACCUUACUAGGCUAAGGUGGGAGACUGCAGGUGCGGGCUGUUAUUAUAAGGGUUUUCCCUGAGGGUGGGGUGUGUACUGGGGCAGGGGGAGAUAUUGUGUUUCUUGGUGCCUCUUGGCCAUAAGACCUGAGCAAAGCCAGCAUGAAGCCCCUCCACAACCCUCAGAUGGCAACCCAGGGGGUUAAGGCGGGGGGGAUGUGAGGCAAUGGCCAGCAACCCCAUACACACCUGUUUAGGUGAGUUGCAGAUAAGGUGCUCUUAUGCUCCCAGGGCUUUCUGCCAGCAUUGAGGAGAAACAGGAGCUCUUCUCCAGCCAGGUGAACAUGGCCUCGCUUGGCAAGCUUGCAGUCCUACAUUCCGGUAGGUUACAGGCUGCUUCCAGUAACGCAGGGAAGCUGGGGAAGGAUGAGUUGGGACAUUUUAUUAUGGUGGACUAUCUGAGUGGAAAUGGAUAGCUGAGCCCUCUGAGGACCCGCAGCCUCAUUACCCAGAGGGGAAACCAAGGUUCACGCAGGAGAAGGGGCUUGUCCAAGGUCACUUUUGCAGUCUUGUCUCUAAGAAUAUGGAUUUUGGAGACAGGGAGAUUUGAAUUCUGCCACUUACUAGCUAUAAGAGCUUGAGCAAAUUUCAAGCCCUGAGGCUUAGUUUCUGCAAAUGUUAAUGAGGAAUCACAAUUCUGAUAUUUUAUUGCUAUGAAGAUUAGAGGAAAUGAUAGAUGAAGAGCUUGCUCCUGAGUGGCUGUUCAGGCCUCCAGCCCCAAGUCCCUAGGCAUAGGAUGAUGGGGGAACUGCUGAGAAGGGCCUUCUUGUUUCUCAGGCAACAAAACUGCCAAAGGCUUUAGGAGAGAAUCCUAGUGGGGUUUGGGUUGGGGGAACUCUGAUUUCAAGGAAGUGAGUGGCUUGGGAUCUGGUCCAGCCUUCCCGUCCUUUCCUUUCAUUCAUCUGCUCAUUCAUUCCACAGAUGUGGAUUAAGCAUCCACUCAGGGACAGAUUCUGUCCUGGAUGCUGCUCUAUCAAAGAGAACUAAAACCCAACUGCUCCCCACCCUAAAUGCUCACAGUCCAGUGGAGAAAGAGAGAGAGAGACAAGGCAAAGAGACACUGUCAGAGUGAAAUUGCUGUUAGAGGUGUGUGCAUGACACACGGGGAACCCUGAGGAAGUGGAGCUGCUGAAGAGUCAUGCUUCCUUUUUUUUUUUUUUUUUAACUGCAGAGCACUUUGUUAUGGUUGAGACCUACCUUUCUGUAUAAUUUUAUAACCUGCUAUUUCUUCUUAAAUUUUUUUUAGAAAUGAGGUCUCACUAUGUUGCCCAGGCUGGAG